AUUUGCGCAGAAAUCACACUCACUGCAACGUCAAAGAUAUUGAGAAAAACUGCAUGCGGACAAUCUGAAAGUCACAUCGCUGUUCGCCGGCUAUCUCAUAACAUUUGUUUCAGAGAACCAUAGCUAUGUCCGAUUACAGAAUUUGAUCGUUUGGUGGAAAUUAUCACUUGAGUCUUAGGACGAAAUCAACUCCGAUAAAUAAGUUCACAUCGAGCAGCUCAUCUUUCAAGUUUAAUUAUAUCAGAGUAAUUUCAAUUAGUCACUUAAAAUACAGAUCAUUUGUUUUAUUGUUGUAAGCUAUGGUCUGGAAAGAAGAUCAAUCACUGCGAACGAGUUCUGUUAUGAAAAGCUUCCAUAUCACAACCAGGAACAAGGGAUGUGCUACAAAGGAUCUGGCCGUCGUAUGGCUCACAGUAUCAAUGAAGGUUGGAAUCACAUUCCAUUUGAGUGCACACAGCUGAACGACCGUCCGAUGCAC
rnacentral:misc_RNA from 1 species